AAUUUUGGACAAUGGGCGCAAGCCUGAUCCAGCCAUGCCGCGGGAGUGAAGAAGGACGUCGGGGUGAUAAGCUCUGUCGGACGGAAAGAAAUCGCGCAGGCUAAUACCCUGCGCGGAUGACGGUACCGUCAUAAGAAGCACCGGUUAACUACGUGCCAGCAGCCGCGGUAAUACGUAGGGUGCAAGCGUUAAUCGGAAUUACUGGGCGUAAGGCGUGCGCAUGCGGUUGAUUAAGACAGGCUUGAAAUCCCCAGGCUUAACCUGGGAACUGCGCUUGUGACUGUUCAGCUAGAGUACGGCAGAGGGGGGUGGAAUUCCACGUGUAGCAGUGAAAUGCGUAGAGAUGUGGAGGAACACCGAUGGCGAAGGCAGCCCCCUGGGCCGAUACUGACGCUCAUGCACGAAAGCGUGGGUAGCAAACAGG
rnacentral:rRNA from 1 species